rnacentral:pre_miRNA from 1 species
UGGACAAAUUAUUGUAUUCGACUGUAUUCAGGACAUGAAACAUGGGAUUACACUGUUUUUAAAUGGAAAGUGAAUAAAUUAACAUAAUACACUCCU